CUCUCUCUCUCUCUCCAUUAUCCUCUUCUCUCUCUCCCGUCCCCCACGCCUCUCCUUGUUCCCAGCCUCUUCUCUCUCUCUCUCUCCCUUAUCCUCUUCUCUCUCUCCCGUCCCCCACGCCUCUCCUUGUUCCCAGCCAAGAUCCACCUCCACCUACCGCCGUUCCCCAAGCCGCUGACGAGCACCAGGCAGCCAACGCCAUGGACGGCUGCGGAGCUUCGCGCCACCCGACGUCAACCGCAUCGCCGCCCCAAGGGAUCCGUGCGCGUGGCCGCGUUGAGCCGCACAUGCGCUAGAUCCAUCCGCCGGUGUGUGCCACCGUAGCAACAGGUUCGGCAAUGACUCUCGGCCCUGCCGCUUCAUUGCUCCUUCCCAAGCCGGCCUCCACUUUCUGACCCCGCCACCGGCGAGCUGUCAUGCCCGUCCUCGUCGCACUGGUGCUGUCCUCCAGUAUGCUUGCUGGCUGCGACCAGAGCCCUGUAUAUAUUUGGUUCGGUUGCAGUGCUGCUACUUCCCGGUGGAUCUAGGCUGCCCAGGCUAGCAACGUGUGUGUUGCUUUCUUGAUGGGUUUUAAGUGGAUCUUAAUUUGAUGUAUCCUGGCACUUGUCCGUGUGUAAAUCUGAUGUGUAGAACACUUAGAAGUUGCUACUCGUAGGAUAUUCUUGCUCGUAUGUGUACACAUGAAGAAUGGCUAGCUUGUAGAUCCGUUUUCUUUUUGUUAAAGAAAUAUACAUUCAUUUUUAUUGGA